rnacentral:rRNA from 1 species
GUAGGUGGCAAGCGUUGUCCGGAAUUAUUGGGCGUAAAGCGCGCGCAGGUGGUUCUUUAAGUCUGAUGUGAAAGCCCCCGGCUCAACCGGGGAGGGUCAUUGGAAACUGGGGAACUUGAGUGCAGGAGAGGAAAGUGGAAUUCCACGUGUAGCGGUGAAAUGCGUAGAUAUGUGGAGGAACACCAGUGGCGAAGGCGACUUUCUGGCCUGUAACUGACACUGAGGCGCGAAAGCGUGGGGAGCAAACAGGGAUUAGAUACCCUGGUAGUCCACGCCGUAAACGAUGAGUGCUAAGUGUUGGGGGGGUUUCCCGCCCCUCAGUGCUGCAGCUAACGCAUUUAGCACUCCGCCUGGGGAGUACGGUCGCAAGACUG